ACGGGAUAAACGCUGAAGGCAUCUAAGCGUGAAGCCCCCCUCAAGAUGAGAUAUCCCAGCGAAAGCUGUAAGACCCCUUGAAGACGACAAGGUAGAUAGGGCAGAGGUGGAAGUGCGGUAACGCAUGCAGCUGACUGUCACUAAUAGGUCGAGGGCUUGACCAA
rnacentral:rRNA from 1 species